rnacentral:rRNA from 1 species
AUUGAACGCUGGCGGCAUGCCUUACACAUGCAAGUCGAACGGUAACAGGUCUUCGGAUGCUGACGAGUGGCGAACGGGUGAGUAAUACAUCGGAACGUGCCUAGUAGUGGGGGAUAACUACUCGAAAGAGUGGCUAAUACCGCAUGAGAUCUACGGAUGAAAGCAGGGGAUCGCAAGACCUUGUGCUACUAGAGCGGCCGAUGGCAGAUUAGGUAGUUGGUGGGAUAAAAGCUUACCAAGACGACGAUCUGUAGCUGGUCUGAGAGGACGAUCAGCAACACUGGGACUGAGACACGGCCCAGACUCCUACGGGAGGCAGCAGUGGGGAAUUUUGGACAAUGGGCGCAAGCCUGAUCCAGCAAUGCCGCGUGCAGGAUGAAGGCCUUCGGGUUGUAAACUGCUUUUGUACGGAACGAAAAGCCCUGGGUUAAUACCCUGGGGUCAUGACGGUACCGUAAGAAUAAGCACCGGCUAACUACGUGCCAGCAGCCGCCGUAACAC